rnacentral:lncRNA from 10 species
CUUAGUUCAGAUAAAAGCCAGGUUCUUGCCACAUGGCCAUGAUUAGGCUCGCAGACAUUUUGAAGAGUGAGAAAAAUGGAAUUUAUUGGGCAAAAAGGAAAAAAAGAGAAACAGGGACUCUCAGCAAAGCGAGAGUCCCCGCUAGCUGGUCUCCCCCUCACAGAUUGAAUCCUGGAUUCCACCUGAAACAGAAGAGGCCAGUCUCCUCCCCGCUGCAAAGGGCGUGAACUCCGUGGCUCCAGCCCAUUUUCCCAGUGCCCGCACAGUGGUUGGAGUUUCUCCGGGGACCGCUUUAUACUUGACUGUCUCAUUGCCAUGGCAUUUGUCAACUGUCGUGCUGCUGGUGGGAGUGUCUUUUAGUGUGCUAAUGUAUUAUUAUUAGUGUAUAAUGAGCCAUGAGGAUGACCAGAGGUCACUCUUGUCACCAUCUUGGUUUCGGUGGGAUUUGGCCGGCUUCUUUACUGCAUGCCAUUUUAUCCGCAAGGUCUUUAUAACCUGUAUCUUGUGCCGACCUCCUGUCUCAUCCUGUGACUAAGAAUGCCUAGCCUCCUGGGAAUGCCACCCAGUAGGUCUCAGCCUUAUUUUACCCAGCGGCUACUCAAGAUGGUUCAAAUGCCUCUGACAGUGGGAUGGAGCAGGUUCUCCCUUUGUAAGGGCCUGAGGGCCCAUGAAGCAUGGAAGUAAAGACAAAUCUUGAGUUCCUUCAAAGAAAAUUCCAGGCACCUGGAUGGCCACGAGAAGUCAAUGAGCAACUCGCUUGUAGGUUAAAUGCUGCUAAGUGGAGAGAGAGUCUGAUGUGGAGCUUGGAAGAAGCCUUUGCAAUGUCACCUCGGGAUUCCCUGGGGCCAAUCAUUUAAGGCACUGUAUUUGACUCCUCAAAGGACUUCAUGUAAG